CUUACUUAAAUUAAAUGAAAAAAAUAAAUAAAAAUUGAACCAUAAAUGGAAUUUUUAAAAUUUUCCAGCUGGAAAAUUUGAACAAUUUUAGAAAAAAAAAUUCAGUUUUUUUUAAACUUUUGACUUAUUAGGUGCCAGCAGUCGCGGUCAUACCUUUAAAAAAGUAUUUUUACUUAGAGGAUUUUAAAAGAAAAAAAAUAAAAAUUUAGUAAAAUAAGUUUUAUUAAAAAAAUCUAAACUUUAAAUAAAAAAUGAAAUUUCAUUUUUUAAACUAGGAUUAGAUACCCUAUUAUAAAGAAAUAUAAAAUACAUCUCUAAGCACUAAAAUUUUUUUGAAUUAAAACUUAAAAAUUUUGGCGGUGAAUUAAAAUAUCAGGGGAACUUACCAGAUAAUUGAUAACCCACAUGUUUAUUAACUUUUUUUAAUAGCUUAUAUAUUGCCGUUGUGAUUUUACUUUAAGGUAAAAUUAAUAAAUAUUUUUAUUUCAUAACAGGUCAUAAUGUAGCACAUAAAAAAGUCUUAAGGUGAGUUACAAUAACUAUUAAAAUUCAGAAUCUUUUUAUUAAAAAAAGAUAAAGAUGGACUUGAAAGUAAAAAUAAUUCUUAAAUAAAUUUUGAAUUUUUAUUAAUUCGUGCACAAAUCGCCCGUCACUCUCAUUUUUUAAAAUUAGAUAAGUCGUAACAUAGUAGAGGUAAUGGAAAUUGUCUCU
rnacentral:rRNA from 1 species